GUUUUGUGCUUUGGAUGGAAUCUAAACUUUGCAAUAUAACUUGUAGUCUUAACUUUAAGAUGCGCAUUUACAUAAAAAAAUUCUUAUCUUUAACUAGCUACAAUUAAGGUUCGAAAAGUUUUCAACUGCAGUUUAAUUGACAGUGUUUUAGUGGUAGUGUUUUCGGGUACACUCGUGGAGUCGUGCAAACAAUGCACCUGACUUGGCCACUUGAUAACACGUGAUCAUGAGCGUUCACCAUGUGCUUUCACGAUGGAGAUGAGCGACAGUGAAGACGCCAUUUUGUCAGAACUUCACAGGACAUUCAGGAAAGGUUACCACAGCUACACGUCUUUUCGGGAAUAAGGUCGAUGAACAAUUGGUCAUGGAACGAACAGGCCACAGAAGUUUGGCUGUAAGGCUGUACAAGAGAACUUCUGACGGUCUUCAGAAGGAGAUAUCGGACACGCUGCAACCACCAGCACCGGACAAGAAGGCCACGGCUACAUCUUCCCAACCAUCAAAGAAGAUCGCAAUAGAGACAGCAGAUAAUCAAGAUGCCGCUAAUUAACAGCGAAUCAAUAUUACAUGUACUAACUCCGCGGGAAACGUCAUUAAUAUCAGUUUGUAACAGGUCCAGAAUAAAUGACUAAAAUGA
rnacentral:lncRNA from 1 species